UGGGGAAUAUUGCACAAUGGGCGCAAGCCUGAUGCAGCCAUGCCGCGUGUGUGAAGAAGGCCUUCGGGUUGUAAAGCACUUUCAGCGAGGAGGAAGGGUUCAGUGUUAAUAGCACUGUGCAUUGACGUUACUCGCAGAAGAAGCACCGGCUAACUCCGUGCCAGCAGCCGCGGUAAUACGGAGGGUGCAAGCGUUAAUCGGAAUUACUGGGCGUAAAGCGCGCGCAGGCGGUUUGUUAAGUCAGAUGUGAAAUCCCCGCGCUUAACGUGGGAACUGCAUUUGAAACU
rnacentral:rRNA from 1 species